rnacentral:lncRNA from 1 species
ACUUUAGUGUAAAAAUAUAUAUAAAUAAAUGCCUGUUGAUUAAAAAAAGACAAAUUUCAAAUACCAUCCACGUGGUUUCACACUUUCUCACUUUAGUACCCUGUGGUUUAAAGUACAUCAAUGUAGUGUCUUAUAGUUUCAUUUUUAUCUUUUUAUUAUUGAUUCCACUAAUUUUUUUCGUUAAAUUAGUGACAAUGUUAAAACUAAAGGGUAUUGAAGUGAAUAUUCGAUAAAUCUAGAUAGUGUAUUUGAAGUUUUUUGUGUAUAAUUUAACGAAAUAUUAACGAAAAAGCUGACGAAAAGAUAAAAAUAAAACCACAUGACACUAACUUGAUAUAUUUCAAACUACAGAAUACUAAAACGAGAAAGUGCGAAACCGGUGGUUGGUAUUUGAAGUUUAUCCUUUUUUUCUAAAAAGCGCAAAAAACUGUUUUUUUAAAAACAAUAAGGAUGAAAAGCAGCUCUUUUUUUUUGGGAAAAAAAUUGAAAAAUAAAACAUUACUUUUUUUUUCAUGAAUUUUGAGGAUAACCUUUUUUCAAAAAAAUACUUAUUCUAUGAUGAAAUUUUUUUUUUAGCCAAAUAAUAAAAUAUUGAAAAUUUUCUGUAAAUACCAACUUUUUCAAUUUCACCUUUUAUUUUAAAAAACUAUAUUUUGUUCUCUUAAUAUUUUAGAAAUAUUUUUAAAAAAUUACCACAUUAAUGAAGAAGGCAAAAUAACUAAAUUAUUCUUAUUUGUUCUAUAAAAAAAUAAUACAUUUUUAUUAUUUUUAGAAAUAUUUUUUAGUAUAAAUUAUAAAAAAUAACCGAAUAAUGACAAAAAAAAGGGGGCUAGAUCUAUUAAUUUGAAGUUU